UACGUAGGGCGCAAGCGUUGUCCGGAAUUAUUGGGCGUAAAGAGCUCGUAGGCGGUCUGUCGCGUCGGCUGUGAAAACCUGGGGCUCAACUCCAGGCCUGCAGUCGAUACGGGCAGACUAGAGUUCGGUAGGGGAGACUGGAAUUCCUGGUGUAGCGGUGAAAUGCGCAAAUAUCAGGAGGAACACCGGUGGCGAAGGCGGGUCUCUGGGCCGAAACUGACGCUGAGGAGCGAAAGCGUGGGGAGCGAACAGG
rnacentral:rRNA from 1 species